GAAAUGCGAUAAGUAAUGUGAAUUGCAGAAUUCAGUGAAUCAUCGAAUCUUUGAACGCACAUUGCGCCCUGUGGUAUUCCGCAGGGCAUGCCUGUUCGAGCGUCAGUACAACACUCAAGCCUGGCUUGGUCUUGGGCGUCACCAGCAAUGGUGCGCCUUAAAAUUAGUGGCGGCGCCUGCGAGGCUCUAAGCGUAGUAAUACUCCUCGCUUCAGGGACCCCCGCGGGAGCUGGCCAGCAACCCCCAACUUCUCAAGUUUGACCUCGGAUCAGGUAGGGAUACCCGCUGAACUUAA
rnacentral:misc_RNA from 1 species